rnacentral:SRP_RNA from 1 species
CCGUGCUAGACGGGGAGCUAGCGGUGCCCUGUAACCCGAAAGCCGCUUACGCGGGGUUGAAGUCCCUUCUUGAGGAUUGCAGCGCAUCCGGGAGAGGCUGACCCGGGCGGCGGAUUGGACCCCACGCAACAGACGCUGGCGAACCCCGUCAGGUCCGGAAGGAAGCAGCGGUAAACCAGGCGGUCUGUGUCGCGGCGGCUGCUAAUCCUUAAACCCCCGGGCGGUCCCCCCGAAUGAGGCGGAUUCGAAGAAGGGUGCACGG